UGAAAAAGAACCUGAAACCGUGUACGUACAAGCAGUGGGAGCCCCACCACUAAGCCAGUGGUGAACUCCACAUACGCAUCCUUUGCUGAGGAUACGGUUAACGGAGCGAAAGCGACGUUCAACCGCAAAAGAAGCAGAGGGGGCUUAGUGGUGGGGUGACUGCGUACCUUUUGUAUAAUGGGUCAGCGACUUAUAUUCUGUAGCAAGGUUAACCGAAUAGGG
rnacentral:rRNA from 1 species